AGAAAUUAAAGUAAUAAUGUACGUAGGUCCUUAAAAUAAAAAGCAAAAUCGCUUGGUGGCCCAGUAUAAUAUAUAUAUAUUAUAAUACAAUAUAAUACAAUAUAAAUUCAAUCCUUACCUGAGGCAUGGAUGCACAACGAGUUACCUGCCACGCUGGAGCACCUUGAGGUCAAUUGUUGCUCGAAUCUUGCUUUCUUGUCACGGAAUGGAAAUCUACCUCAGGCUCUUAAGUACCUUCGUGUUGAAGACUGUUCAAAGCUGGAGUCGUUAGCAGAAAGGUUGGACAACACAUCCCUUGAAGAAAUUGAUAUUUCAGGGCUUGAAAAUCUUAAAUCAUUACCUGCCGGUUUGCAUAAUCUCCACGAUCUUCAAAAGAUUUGGAUAUCUGAAUGUCCAAAUCUUGAGUCAUUUCCCGAAGAAGGAUUGCCUUCUACGAAACUGACUCUGCUCACGAUAUGUGAUUGUGAGAAUCUGAAGGCUUUACCCAACUACAUGCACAAUCUCACUUCAUUGAAAACUCUGCGUCUCGGUAAUUGUCCGAAGCUCACAUACUUUCCAGAGCAGGGCCUGCCUAAAUCACUUUUGGAACUAAUUGUCUCUAAUUGCCCGUUGAUAGAAGAAAGGUGCAGAAAGGAUGAAGGAAAAUAUUGGCCCAUGAUUUCCCAUAUACCUUGUGUCCAAAUUAAUUUCAGAUCAGUUUUUAAAGGAAGAUCCAUCAAUUAGAUUGUGUAAUCAUAAUUUCUUUUUUUUUUCCACCUGUAAUUUAAUUGUAAUAUGAACUGACUUUAUCAAUAAAAGAAUAAAAUUAUGUUUAGGAUUGUCAGUGAAGUUGAUAAAGUAAGAAGAGCAGAGGAAAGAAGUAAUAAGAGAAGAAGAAACUCCAGUUCAAGGAGGGAUGUUAGUGAAACUGAUUAAAUGAGAAGGAACAGAGAAAUCGUGUACAUGCUGUUAUUGUGCUCUUGACAGCAGCUA
rnacentral:lncRNA from 1 species